rnacentral:rRNA from 1 species
UACGUAGGGUGCGAGCGUUUAAUCGGAAUUACUGGGCGUAAAGUGUGCGCAGGCGGCCGAGCAAGUCGAGUGUGAAAGCCCCGAGCUUAACUUGGGAACUGCGCUCGAAACUACUUGGCUGGAGUGUGGCAGAGGAAGGUGGAAUUCCACGUGUAGCGGUGAAAUGCGUAGAGAUGUGGAGGAACACCGAUGGCGAAGGCAGGCCUUCUGGGCCAACACUGACGCUCAUGCACGAAAGCGUGGGAGCAAACAGGAUUAGACUA